UUUUUUUUUUUUUUUUUUUUGAGAGGGAGUCUCGCUCUGCCACCCAGGCUGGAGUGCAGUGGUGCGAUCCUGGCUCACUGCAAGCUCCGCCUCCCAGGUUCACGCCAUUCUCCUGCCUCAGCCUCCCAAGUAGCUGGAACUACAGGUGCCUGCUGCCAUGCCGGGCUAAUUUUCUGCAUUUUUUUUUUAGUAGAGAUGGGGUUUCACCGUGUUAGCCAGGAUGGUCUCGAUCUCCUCACCUCGUGAUCUGCCCGCCUCAGCCUCCCAAAGUGCUGGGAUUAUAGGCGUGAGCCACCCCGCCCCGCUCAAGUGACUUAUUCUUUUCUCAAUUAUGCACUGGGCACUGUUAUUCUUAACAAUGCUUCAGUAAUGGUUUUUGCCUUAAAGUCUAUUUUUCUAAUCUUAAUAUAAGACUUUCCUUUCCCAGGUAGUACUUGCUAGUUUUUCUUUUCCUAGAAUUUUGCUUCCAAUCUUUCUGUGCCCUUAAGGUUUGGAUGUGUCUUUAGUAAACAUCAUUUACCUGAAUUUUUAAAAUUCAAUAUUUCAAUGUCUGUUUUAGCUGGCAACAUUAGAGUGUUUAAUUUAUUGUAAUGCUUUGUGUAUUUGGACUUGUCUCCACCAUUAUAUUUUGUGUUUCUACUUGCUGCCCUUAUGUUUUCCUGCUUUCUUGUUCAUUUGGGGGCCAAUCAAGUUUUUUUCUUAACUUCUUCUUGUUUGGAAAUAACAUAUUUUAUUUCUGUUCUUCUACCCUAGCUUUGUAAGGCUUAGAGUUAAUUAAUAUGUCUACCCUUCAUCUAAACAAUACAAGAAUAUAAGGACACUUAAAGUCUGAUUAUUCCCUACCAAUCUUAAAUGUUACUAUCUUUCAGACCUUUGUAUCCACUGAACUUAAAAAAAAAUAUGUCAUUUAUUUAUUUCUAAAUUUCUUAUGGCAUAUUUAAGACAAAAAGAAAUCAUCAUAGCCUCAGUUCACCCUUCAACUUAAGAAAUAAAACAUUACUCAUAGGGUUGACCUGACCAGUUUUGCCUUCCUGCCCUCAGAAAUAACUACUGUAAAGUUAAAAAAUGUUCCAUUUUGUUUUUAUUCAGAAAUAUUGCUUAGAUUUACCUAAAUAUUUGCUAUUUUAUUUUGUCACUAUUGCUUCUUUUACAUUGUUCUUUUCUGGAUUCAAUUUCUUUCUAUUGAAGAACAUUCUGACUUGGUUUUCAACAAAGUUCUAUGAAUCAUAGCUUCUCAUUUAUUAUCUGGAAAUAAAUAUUUGUAUUGGAACUAAUUCCUGAAUAACACAGGCAUAGGAUAUAAAAUAUAUAUAGAUACAGAACUGCUGACUGGUAGCUACUUUCUCUCAACAUUUUGCAGAUGUUAUUUUAUUUUUUCGAUUGUGUUGCUAUUAAGAAGUCUCUUGUCAAUCUUAUUAUUAUUCAUUCGUGGUAAUCUGCUUUGAUAUGCAAAGUUUCUCUAAUUCCCUCUACAGAGUCUUUAUGAAAUUCCUAUUCAAGGAAAUUUCUUUAUUCUAACAUUUAUGUAUAUAUUUGUGUAUGUAUGUAUUUAGAAAGAAAUUUAUAUACACAUUGGAUAGACUAGAUGCCUUAUAUACACAUAUAGUGUGUGUGUAUACAUAUGUCUUCAUAUAUGUAUGUCUUUAUAAUCUUAGAUUUAUUUUCUAGUUUAUGAAUUUCCUCUAAGCUGUAUCUAAAAUGCCCUUAAAACCAUUUAAUGUACUUCAAAAUCUUUAUUUUACAUUUCUAGAAUUUCUAAUUGAUUCUUUUUAAAAUCUAUGUGCAUCUUAUUUUUUAAUACAUUUUAUUUCUCUUCAGUUUUAAUCAUCUUAAACUUUAGGUAUCUUAUAAUCCACCUUUGGUAGUUCUAUUAUCUGAAAUUCCUUGGGGUAUGAUUCUGCUGUUUUUACUCUUUUCUAAGUCUCUCAAGGUGGAUUGUUUCCCUGUGUGUUUUGUAAUUUUGAAUGGUGAGCUCAUCUUUAAUAGGCUUCAUCUGGAGGAAUCAUGUGUGGCCUGGUAUGAUGUUUUAUCACACCAGAUUUGUUCUUUGUUUGCUUCUGCUGGCAAAAUGUUGACAUGUGAACAUGGGAUUUUUCAGGGCAUGAAAUCUGGACACUGAGCUCAUAGGAGGUAUACGUCUGUGAUUACAAAUUAUCUGGGGAGGCUUAUUUUCCACUACCCAAACCUAGAUAGAUAAGCUUCCUUGUUUUCUCUUUGGCUUAUGUAUAUAUUAUUUUAGUCUUACCAAUUCACUGAAGGGAUAGUCCUUAAAUGAUCCUGGAUUUACACAAGGGGUUCAGGCUCAACACCAUACCCCACCUCCCUCCAGAAUUUCCAAGGUCUUGUCUUCUGUCUCUGUGAGUAUGAAAAUGAAAACCUCUAGGUUUCUGAGACCAUAACAACCUCCCCAGCCCAUGCCAGCCAUACUCCUGCCAUGUGAGCUUAUGCAAUCGCUGUUCAGGUUCUCAGUUCUCUCUUCCUUUUGGCAAUGCUGAUGAUUUCUCUUUCUUCCAAACUCAGCUAUUAAGAUUAUUUAUUUUAUUGUAUCUAGCAUUCUAGCAUUUGUAGUGGGAGAAUAUUCAGGGUAUCUAGACCACUAUAAUCCUAUGACUGGAAGUUGCUUCAAACACAAUUUGUCCCAAACCACACUGAUGAACCUCUUCCCAAAUCUGGUUCUACUCCAUGUUUCCUGUUUUACAAACCAGAAUGUCAUCUUGAUGGCUUCUUCACCUUCCUUGUCUAACCAAUCACCAAGCAUGGUUGAUUUAUCUACUGAACGUAUCUAUCUUCAACCAAUCCACGUGUCUCCAUCUCCACUGCCCCACUUUGGUCUAAGACACCAUCAUGUUCCCCUGGACUACUGUGACAACCUCUUCCUGCUCCUUCUUUCCAAUCCAUUUCUAUUGCAGCCACAGAAAUCUUCCUGAUAUCUAAAUCUGGUCAAUUCACUUUCUACUAUGUAUGGGCACCAUACUUAGACCCGGGCAUACUGUGUUUAUUAGUUUCUGAGAGUUUCCCUAACAAAAUACUACAGACUGGGUGCCUUGGACAACAAAUUGAUUUUCUUAUAGUUCUGGAAGCUAGAAGUCCAAAAUCAAGGUGUUGGCAGGGCUCAUGUCUUCUGAGGCCUUUCUCCUUUUGAAUAGCUGUCUUCUCUCUGUGUCUUCACAUGGUCUUUUCUCUGGGUGUCCUAAUCUCCUCUUCCUAUAAAGACACCAGUCUUGGAUUUAGGCCCACCCACAUGACCUCAUUUUACCUUAAUUACCUCUCUGCAGGCCUUAUCUCCAAAUAGUCACAUUCCAAGGUGUAGGAGGUAAGGCUUCAACAUGUGAAUCUAUGGGGAGACACAGUUCAGCCUAUCACACUGCGUGAAACUGAGCCUCAUCAACUUCUCUUCUGUCAUUUGCCUGAUUUCUCUCCGCUUUCCAGAUACUUCUCAGUAUACAGUGAGCUCUUUUUUUUUUUUGCCUUAAGGGCUUUGCAAAAACUGCUCCCUUCAGAUGGAAUGCUCCCCAUCAACCAACUUUGUUUAGUCAAAGGUUGGCUCUCAGCUUCAACGUUACUUCCUCAGAAAAACCUUUCCUGACUGUCAGAUUGGGUUACGUCUCUGUGUUUUGUGUUUUUGCCCCCUCUCAUACCACUUUUCAUAACUCUAAUUAAAUGAUUACCUAUGUAAUUACUGAAUUUCCUUGAUCCUACAAUGCUAUGAAUUGUUAGAUAUACCAUCAAUUCCAAAACACUUAUAGGGAGAGGGAAAAAAUACUAGUCUCUCAGUCAGCUAUUGCUACAUUAAUGUUACAUAAAAAACCACCCCAAAAUUUGGUAGCUUAAAACAGCAAGCAUUAAUGCCUCCCUCACAGAUCUGUGAGAUGCUGCAGUUUGCUUAUACAAAACUCAACUUCAGGUUCCCAGCUCUGUGCUCCAGGCUGAGUUGGAUUUAGGUUGGGUUCAUGUAUCUUCAAAUUUUUCAUAGGCCAGUGGCUACCUAGGCUAUGGUAUUAUCACAAUGGAUGAUAGAAGUUGAAGAGACUUGCAGUACCUGUUAAGUCCUCAGCUAGGAACACUGUCCUCCAACCCAGUUCCAAUGGUUACAGCAAGUCCAUGGCCAAGCCUGACGUAAUGGAUUGGGAAAGUACUAUGCUUCCUCCAGAGGAAGCACAAAGUCACAUGGAAAUGGCCAUAAAUGUAAAACAUAUAAUUCCAGAACAAGGAGGAAUAAGGAACAAUCAUUCAAUCUACUACAACUAUAGUAAACAGUAUGUACACAAUUUUUUAUUUUGUUUACUUACAAUAGAUUAUUCAAUUAUGUUUAUCUAUACAACGAUAUACCACUUUCUUCCAUAGUCUGAGCAAAGUCUCAUAGAGCUUCAAGUAUCUUCUUAGGCACUUUUGAUCACCGACAGUUAUGCACAUCAUCCUAGCGACCUGUCCUUCCUAGAACCAGGGCUUAUGACCUUGACCUCUUUAACACCUCAGAACCAAUACGUACUUUUUAGGCAUAUGAAAGAAUACCAGGGUUCUAUUUGCAUUCCCAGUCUGGUUAAACUCAGACAUGUCCCCCCGCCCCCACCAUAACUGACUCUCUUAUCCUCGGAAAUGAAAAACUUUUCAUAGAAAUCUACAACUAGUUUUUAACAGAUACUUGACAGCUGAACUAUAGUCCACAAUGCACUAAAUGGUCAUACCAAUCUCUGUAGCUUAGAAAUUCUACAAUCUCUUUUUAAUGUCUCUAAUUGUACUGUCCGGUAUGUAACAGGGAAUUAUUUUGAGCAUGUCUCAUUAACAAAAGAUUUAUCUCCUACUAGGCAUCUUCCCUUCUUAGGAAGUCUGCAAAGGACUUGGGUGCUUCAAGAUGAGGUUUAAGUUUAAGUCCCUCAUUUUUCCAAGGGAGGGGAGAAUACUUGCUUCACUUAUUGCGACUUUGCUUGCAGCUCUAUUCCCAUGGUUUUUUUUCCUGCAUAUCUAAUAACUUUCAUUUCAAAGCUACCUUGGAGUCUAGUCCUUUGGAAGACAUUUAAAAAGACCACUAGACAUCUAUAUUUAAGUUAAAAUUCAACCCCAUAUGGUGAUAGUAGUGGAAAUAACUCAAUGAAGAAGAGAGACUUGUUUAACAAGAAAUACAAUGUUUAACAAGAGAUACUAUAGCACAACUUAUUCCUCUGCCUAACAUCUGGAAAGUUUCUUUUAACAUGGAUUGAAGGAUCCAUUCCAAUGUAAUACUGAAGUGGUCAUCUGAAAUUAUGUCUUCCUUAGUUUCCCUAAUCUCCCACCACAAGUGUAGGAAAGUGACCCAAGCAAGGUGAAUAAAUGCCCUUUUGCCAGGGUCUGAUUUGGAUGCUGGAUGUGAGAGGUUCUCUUUUCUGAGCCUGUAAGAAUCACAGGCAACACACACACAAGUUAUCUUUCCUACCACAUCAACAUAGCCUUCUAGAGAAAGAAAUCAAUAUAGAGGAGGGGAGAAAGGAGAGAGAAGGAGGGAUGGAGAGGGAGGGAAAGGAGUAGGGGAGAGGGAUGGAGAAAGAGAGACAAAGGGAGAGAGAGAGAAAGGGAGGAGAGGGAGAACAAGGGAGAGAGAGAAAAAGGGAGAGAGAGAGAGAAAGAGAGAUGGAGAGAGAGAGAGAGAGAGACAGGGUGAGAGAGAAAGGGGCAGAGAGAGUGGUGCUUGAGCACUGGGUCCUCAUAUUCCCCAAGAUCAUCUCCUAGAACUUUUCAAUACAUAAGUCAAAUUUAGUGCCUGAUUACUGUGAGUUAAUUUCUGUCACUUGCAAUCCAAUAGAGCCCUGGAUACUACAAAGUAAUAACCCAUAUGAACAACAUCAUGAUUAAAAAAACAAAUAAAAAAACAAACCCCACCACAGUGCAGCAGCUAAAAAUAAUUUCAAAGUGAUUCAAGUUCUUCAUUUAUUUUCUUGAACACUGUGAAGGGCACAGAGUCCAUAGCUAUUCUAAAAAAUUCCCCUCUGCCUCCCCCAUCUAGUGGUUCACACACAGCAGCUGCUUCUCCUCCUUUAUAUCUGUCUUCAAAUUCCACUCUCACGUCAAGAUAACCUCCUCCUCCAAAUUUAAUCUUUUGAACUUUUGUUCUUUCUCCCUUUCCUCCCUAUUCUCAUCCCUAAAGCCCAAAAAGAACUUGUCUGUCAAGGCAAGACUCACCUCAGAACAAAAAGAAUGGAGAAAACCAAGCAGGCAAAGCAGGGAAAUGUGUUAGCAAGAAGAGAAGGCUGGGAACAUCCACAGGUUCCUCAUUUUUGUCCCAUUGCUCCCCUUUUAAAAGUGUUAUAAAGUGAAAAUAAAUGUACCUUCAUUUGAGGUUCUGCAAAUGUUUUAACAUUCUUUUCUUUUUCUUUCUAAUCCAAUGUCUUCCACAUACAUAUCAGGCACUUAAUAAUAAUUUUUGAAUAAACAAAUAACUUAAUGACUAUAUGAAUUACAGAAUGAACAAAAAAGAAACACAUGAAUACACGUCAAAGUAAGACAUUAAACAUAUUUAGAAACCUAUUAUUGAAAAAAUUUAUUAUGGCCAAUACAUGCUGGACAUCUAGAAGAGUAAAAAAAUAAUAUCUCUAAAACCCAAGCCAUCUCUUCACAUACAUUAAAUGAAUAAAUAAAAAAAGUAAAAAAUAAUCUUGACAUAAAAGCAAAUUAUAUCUGUAUUUAUCAAAAGUUAUCCAAAAUUUAAACAAUCUCAGUAAUCUCAGUAGUAGCUAUAACUAAGGAUAUUAAUUUGAAUUACUUGCAAACAACAAAAACUCAAUCUGACUAAACUAGACAUGAAUGUAUUUUUUGGGAGAAGUUGCAGUAUGGAUUAGCUACCAAACAGUCUUUUCCUCUCUUUUGUCUUUGUGAACUUCAUCCUGUUUUUUUUCAUGGUCUAUUCAUCCCUCUACCCCUAUAUGGCUCAGGGUUAGUGUCUAAUUGAUAGAUCCAAUUCCCAUUCCCCCUG
ensembl:lncRNA